UACGAAGGGGGCUAGCGUUGCUCGGAAUCACUGGGCGUAAAGCGCACGUAGGCGGCUAACUAAGUCAGGGGUGAAAUCCUGGAGCUCAACUCCAGAACUGCCCUUGAUACUGGUAAGCUUGAGUUCGGGAGAGGUGAGUGGAACUGCGAGUGUAGAGGUGAAAUUCGUAGAUAUUCGCAAGAACACCAGUGGCGAAGGCGGCUCACUGGCCCGAUACUGACGCUGAGGUGCGAAAGCGUGGGGAGCAAACAGG
rnacentral:rRNA from 1 species